rnacentral:rRNA from 1 species
AGCGAACGCUGGCGGCAGGCUUAACACAUGCCAGUCGAACGGGCAUCUUCGGAUGUCAGCGGCAGACGGGUGAGUAACACGUGGGAACGUACCCUUCGGUUCGGAACAACUCUGGGAAACUGGAGCUAAUACCGGAUACGCCCUUAUGGGGAAAGGUUUACUGCCGAAGGAUCGGCCCGCGUCUGAUUAGCUAGUUGGUGGGGUAACGGCCUACCAAGGCGACGAUCAGUAGCUGGUCUGAGAGGAUGAUCAGCCACACUGGGACUGAGACACGGCCCAGACUCCUACGGGAGGCAGCAGUGGGGAAUAUUGGACAAUGGGCGCAAGCCUGAUCCAGCCAUGCCGCGUGAGUGAUGAAGGCCUUAGGGUUGUAAAGCUCUUUUGUCCGGGACGAUAAUGACGGUACCGGAAGAAUAAGCCCCGGCUAACUUCGUG